rnacentral:antisense_RNA from 1 species
GUGAAGGGCCACCGGUCGUUCGACUCCACCACGGCCUGAUCCCCGAAGUGGUCGCCGUCGGCCAGUGAAUCGAGGAUGACCUGAUCGCCAUACUUGCCCGCGCCCAGCUUGUGGGCCUUGCCAUGGGCGAGCAGGAUCACAUGCUCGGCGGGCUGGCCCGCCUCGACGAUGAGCUCACCGGCCUUGAACUCCUUCUGGACGAACUGGUUCGCCAGGGCCCUCAGCACCAGGUUGUCGACGUCCGCGAAGCCGUGCAGCAGCGGCAGCUUGUUCAGCUCCUGGGGAUGGAGCUCCACCUUGGCGCCGAUGUUGCUGAAUUCGAGGCGGUCAUCACUCGCCGUAUAGGUCAACCGGCGGUUGACGCGAUACACGCCGGACACCUCGACCCAGGGCAGUAUCCGCAGCAGCCACCGGGGAGUGAUUUCCUCCAUCUGUGGCUGUGACUUGGUCGUCGUCGUCAACUGGCGGGCAGCGGCCGUCGCCAGACUCAACUGAUGCUGUUCCG